UCAGUAAAUCAGGCGAUCGCGUGCCCACGGCACGAGGAAAGUCCGAGCUCCGUAGAGCAGAGUGCCGGAUAACGUCCGGUGGAGGCGACUCCAAGGAUAGUGCAACAGAAAGAAACCGCCGGAAACGGUAAGGAUGGAAAGGCGAGGUAAGAGCUCACCGGCAAAUUGGCGACAAUUUGGCCAUGUAAACCCCACUCGGAGCAAGACCAAAGCGGAACAAACAGAGGCUGCUCGUCUCUGCCAGAAGGUGGGUCGCUUGAGCGUAGUGGUGACAUUACGCCUAGAUAGAUGAUCGUCCGCGACAGAACUCGGCUUAUCGAUUUACUAAAAAG
rnacentral:RNase_P_RNA from 1 species